rnacentral:rRNA from 1 species
UACAGAGACUGCAAGCGUUAUUCGGAUUCACUGGGCGUAAAGGGUGCGCAGGCGGCCGUGUGUGUUGGGCGUGAAAGCCCGGAGCUUAACUCCGGAAUUGCGCUCAAAACUACAUGGCUAGAGCAUUGGAGAGGGUAGCAGAAUUCACGGUGUAGCAGUGAAAUGCGUAGAUAUCGUGAGGAAUACCAGAGGCGAAGGCGGCUACCUGGACAAUUGCUGACGCUCAGGCACGAAAGCGUGGGGAGCAAAAGGG